rnacentral:rRNA from 1 species
CCUGAACGCUGGCGGCGUGGCUAAGACAUGCAAGUCGAACGGGCCUAGCAAUAGGUCAGUGGCGGACGGGUGAGUAAUGUAUCGCUAAUGUACCCUAGAGCCAGGGAUAGCUGCCCGAAAGGGCAGGUAAUACCUGAUGAAAUAACUUGGUCGCAUGACCGAGGUCUCAAAGCAGCAAUGCACUCCUGGAGCAGGCGAUAUCGUANCAGCUAGUUGGUGAGGUAACGGCUCACCAAGGCGACGACGCGUAGCCGGGCUGAGAGGUUGACCGGCCACAUUGGGACUGAGACACUG